AGGACGAACGCUGGCGGCGUGCUUAACACAUGCAAGUCGAGCGACGCUCCUCCUUCGGGAGGAUGACGGAGCGGCGAACGGGUGAGUAACACGUGGGCAACCUGCCCCUAGCUCUGGGAUAACCCCGGGAAAUCGGGACUAAUACCGGAUAUGAAGUCGGACGGCAUCGUCUGACUUGGAAAGUUUUUCGGCUAGGGAUGGGCCCGCGGCCUAUCAGCUUGUUGGUGGGGUAACGGCCUACCAAGGCGACGACGGGUAGCCGGCCUGAGAGGGCGACCGGCCACACUGGGACUGAGACACGGCCCAGACUCCUACGGGAGGCAGCAGUGGGGAAUAUUGCACAAUGGGCGAAAGCCUGAUGCAGCGACGCCGCGUGAGGGAUGACUGCCUUCGGGUUGUAAACCUCUUUCAGCAGGGACGAAGCGAAAGUGACGGUACCUGCAGAAGAAGCACCGGCAACUACGCGCCAGCAGCCGC
rnacentral:rRNA from 1 species